rnacentral:rRNA from 1 species
UACAGGGGGGGCAAGCGUUGUUCGGAAUUACUGGGCGUAAAGGGCUCGUAGGCGGCCAACUAAGUCGGACGUGAAAUCCCCUCAGCUUAACUGGGGAACUGCGUCCGAUACUGGAUGGCUUGGAUUUGGGAGAGGGAUGCGGAAUUCCAGGUGUAGCGGUGAAAUGCGUAGAUAUCUGGAGGAACACCGGUGGCGAAGGCGGCAUCCUGGACCAAUAUUGACGCUGAGGAGCGAAAGCCAGGGGGAGCAAACGGGG